rnacentral:rRNA from 1 species
UUUUAAAUGGAUGGCGUGAGCUUUGUCUUAAGUUGCGUAAGAUGUGAGACCCUUUGACGGUGUUCUACGGAGCAAGGAGGGGAUGGAAGAGAACAGGUCCGUUAUGCCCUGAGAUGAGGCGGGCUGCACGCGCACUACGAUAGAUGGCGCUUCUGCCUGCUGUGAGGGAUGAAGCUGUGUAAGGGGCUUCUGAACGUGGAAUUCCUAGUAAUAGCGGCUGACGAAGCUGCUUUGAAUGUGUCCCUGUCCUUUGUACACACCGCCCGUCGCUAUCUAAGAUGACGCACUGGACGAAGAUCGGAAGGUCUGAGUCCUGAGUGUUAGAUAAGAUAUAAGUCGUAACAUGGCUGCUGUUGGAGAACCAGCAGCAGGAUCAGUAUGUUGUUGUGUUUUGAUGGAUGUUUGUUUGUUUGUUUGUGGUUUCUCUGUUCACGGGAUUGAUUGGCAUUAGCGGCGAUGAAGGACGUGCAGGAGGACGAUAUGCGUUGUUGUUGUGACGGUGUCUGAAUUGUGUGCGGUGUGCACGGGGACCCCUUGGACUUAAGCAUAUCAGUAAAGGGAGGAGAAGAAACCAAAUGGGAUUGCA